rnacentral:rRNA from 1 species
AAUCAAGUGCCUUAAGGGUGUUCGGUGGAUGCCUUGGCGCUGAGAGGCGAUGAAGGACGUGCUACGCUGCGAUAAGCCGUGGGGAGCUGCGAAGAAGCUUUGAUCCGCGGAUUUCCGAAUGGGGAAACCCACCUUCGAUAGCCGGAACUCCAAGACCUUUGUCGAAAGACAUCGGUGUGGGGUUCGACCAGAUGAUGGAAGAUGCCUAGGCCUUUAGAUUUCGAUCGAAGAGGUUUUGGAUUUCCGGUUAUCAAGAGAAGGUAUGAGACUUCUGAAUACAUAGGAGGUUUCAAGCAAACCCAGGGAACUGAAACAUCUAAGUACCUGGAGGAAAGGACAUCAACAGAGACUCCGUUAGUAGUGGCGAGCGAACGCGGACCAGGCCAGUGAUACAUCAAAGACAAUCGGAACCAGUCAGGAAAGCUGGGCCUCAGAGGGUGAUAGCCCCGUACGAGUAAUGCGAUGAUGUAUCCA